UGGAAUACCAAAAUAUAGUUUUGAGUGGGAUUUUCCUUUAAAUACAAGUGUUUUCUUUUUUAUUGAGUUUGUUCUGCUGUUCGGGCGAAUCCAGUUCCAUGUUGGCUACUUUAGUAGACUCUUGAUCACAGAAACUGCUUGUAAGACACAAAGGGCUCUAUUUUCAGCUGGCGAUAAAGAGGCGCAAGUGUCAAACGCAGGAAAAACGGGGACAUUCCUGCUGCUCAUCUGUUCUACCAGCGUGACGUUUCUGGCUCUCCAGUGUUUCAUGCAGAUCACUUUUGCCUACGUACCUCAGAAUGAGAACGAAUAUUGGGAAAAUGUUCUCUACCA
rnacentral:lncRNA from 1 species